rnacentral:tRNA from 1 species
GCUGCGAUGGCCGAGUGGUUAAGGCGUUGGACUUGAAAUCCAAUGGGAUCUUCCGCACAGGUUCGAACCCUGUUCGCAGCG